rnacentral:rRNA from 1 species
UACGUAGGGUGCGAGCGUUAAUCGGAAUUACUGGGCGUAAAGCGUGCGCAGGCGGUUCGUUAAGUCAGAUGUGAAAGCCCCGGGCUCAACCUGGGAACUGCAUUUGAAACUGGCGGGCUUGAGUGUGGCAGAGGGGGGUGGAAUUCCGCGUGUAGCAGUGAAAUGCGUAGAGAUGCGGAGGAACACCGGUGGCGAAGGCGGUUCUCUGGGCCUUACCUGACGCUGAGGAGCGAAAGCGUGGGGAGCAAACAGG